rfam:Acidaminococcus fermentans DSM 20731, complete genome.
ACAACUCAGGUCUGUGGUUGCAAGUCGAUGCCAGUUGCAGGCAAAACGAUCCACGUAAGCAAUGAAAAGCCAUUGUGAGCACGGUGCAGCUUAGAAGUAAGUCCUGCCGCGAAAAGCGAGAGAAGCAGUAGUGGGGAGCAUGAGGCUUAGGAGCGAACCUUCCAGCAGGCGGGUGUGGGGGCGAAAACCAGGUCAGCUGAGUUGU